rnacentral:misc_RNA from 1 species
UUCUAACGCCUUCAUGUCAUUUUUCUGUAGUUACUGCUUUCUUUUUUGUUUGAUGUUUAGUUUGGGGUAAUCGGACGAAGUAUAACUGUAUAACAUGUUUGAAUUUGUAUUCCUACGUUUGGGUGCAUCUUCUCUGUGUUUUUCCCUGGAUUGUUGAAAAUGUGGCAAGUUUUUUAUUAUUAGUUUUUUUAAAGUUGUUCUUUUUAAGCUUUCAUCAGUGGAGGUUUUUG